CCUACGGGAGGCAGCAGUGAGGAAUAUUGGUCAAUGGGCGAGAGCCUGAACCAGCCAAGUCGCGUGAGGGAGUACUGCCCUAUGGGUUGUAAACCUCUUUUGUCGGGGAGCAAAAGCCGGACGUGUCCGGCUGUGAGAGUACCCGAAGAAAAAGCAUCGGCUAACUCCGUGCCAGCAGCCGCGGUAAUACGGAGGAUGCGAGCGUUAUCCGGAUUUAUUGGGUUUAAAGGGUGCGGAGGCGGAUUUUUAAGUCAGCGGUAAAAUCGUGGGGCUCAACCCCAUCCAGCCGUUGAACCUGGGGAUCUAGAGUGUGCGAGAGGUAUGCGGAAUGCGUGGUGUAGCGGUGAAAUGCAUAGAUAUCACGCAGAACCCCGAUUGCGAAGGCAGCAUACCGGUGCACAACUGACGCUCAGGCACGAAAGCGUGGGUAUCGAACAGGAUUAGAUACCCCAGUAGUC
rnacentral:rRNA from 1 species